rnacentral:rRNA from 1 species
CCUACGGGAUGCAGCAGUGGGGGAUAUUGGACAAUGGGGGAAACCCUGAUCCAGCGACGCCGCGUGAGUGAAGAAGUAUUUCGGUAUGUAAAGCUCUAUCAGCAGGGAAGAAAGAAAUGACGGUACCUGAGUAAGAAGCCCCGGCUAACUACGUGCCAGCAGCCGCGGUAAUACGUAGGGGGCAAGCGUUAUCCGGAAUUACUGGGUGUAAAGGGAGCGUAGACGGUAAUGCAAGUCUGGAGUGAAAGUCGGGGGCCCACCCCCGGGACUGCAUGGGACACUGUUGAACUGGAGUACAGGAGAGGGAAGCGGAAUUCGUAGUGUAGCGGUGAAAUGCGUAGAUAUUAGGAGGAACACCAGUGGCGAAGGCGGCUUACUGGACUGUAACUGACGUUGAGGCUCGAAAGCGUGGGGAGCAAACAGGAUUAGAUACCCUAGUAGUC